rnacentral:tRNA from 1 species
GCCCCGAUAGUUCAGCCUGGUUAGAAUAUGAGACUGUGGAUCUUGUGACCCGUGUUCGAAUCACGGUCGGGGCC